UACGUAGGGUGCAAGCGUUGUCCGGAAUUAUUGGGCGUAAAGAGCUCGUAGGCGGUUUGUCGCGUCUGCUGUGAAAACUCGGGGCUUAACUCCGGGCCUGCAGUGGGUACGGGCAGACUAGAGUGCGGUAGGGGAGACUGGAAUUCCUGGUGUAGCGGUGAAAUGCGCAGAUAUCAGGAGGAACACCGGUGGCGAAGGCGGAUCUCUGGGCCUUACCUGACGCUGAGGCGCGAAAGCUAGGGGAGCAAACAGG
rnacentral:rRNA from 1 species